rnacentral:rRNA from 1 species
UACGUAGGGUGCGAGCGUUAAUCGGAAUUACUGGGCGUAAAGCGUGCGCAGGCGGUUUUGUAAGCCAGAUGUGAAAGCCCCGGGCUUAACCUGGGAAUGGCAUUUGGGACUGCAAGGCUUGAGUGCGGAAGGGGCAACUGGAAUUCUUGGUGUAGCGGUGAAAUGCGUAGAUAUCAGGAGGAACACCUGCGGCGAAGGCGGGUUGCUGGGCCGACACUGACGCUGAGGCGCGAAAGCUAGGGGAGCAAACGGG